GGUAAGGCUAAAUACUUCUGAGAGACCGAUAGUGAACUAGUACUGUGAAGGAAAGGUGAAAAGAACCGCGAAUAGCGGAGUGAAAUAGAUCCUGAAACCAUACGCUUACAAGCGGUAGGAGCGGCUUCGUGCCGUGACUGCGUGCCUUUUGCAUAAUGAGCCUACGAGUUACUCCUCUCUAGCAAGGUUAAAGAUUUAAGAUCUGCAGCCGAAGCGAAAGCAAGUCUGAAUAGGGCGUAUAGUUAGAGGGGGUAGACGCGAAACCUUGUGAUCUACCCAUGACCAGGUUGAAGUUCCGGUAACACGGAAUGGAGGACCGAACUGAUAAGCGUUGAAAAGCUUCCGGAUGAGUUGUGGGUAGGGGUGAAAGGCUAAUCAAACUGGGAAAUAGCUCGUACUCCCCGAAAUGUUUUUAGGAACAGCCUCGAGGUUGAGUGUUAUAGAGGUAGAGCUACUGAUUGGACUAGGGGGCUUCACCGCCUGCCAAAUCCUGACAAACUCCGAAUACUAUAACAUAUACUCGGGAGUGAGCCCAUGGGUGCUAAGGUCCGUGGGCGAGAGGGAAAGAACCCAGACCAACAGCUAAGGUCCCCAAAUCUAUGUUAAGUUGAACUAAUAUGGUCCGAUUGCUUUGACAGCUAGGAUGUUUGCUUGGAAGCAGCAAUUCAUUUAAAGAGUGCGUAACAGCUCACUAGUCGAGCGAUUGGGCGUAGAUAAUAAUCGGGCAUUAAACAUAGUACCGAAGCUUUGGAUUACAUAGCAAUAUGUACUGGUAGGGGAGCAUUCUAAUUGCACUGAAGGUGUGGCGUCAGCCAUGCUGGAGCGAUUAGAAAAGCAAAUGUAGGCAUAAGUAACGAUAAGGCGGGCGAGAAACCCGCCCACCGAUAGACUAAGGUUUCCUGAACAACGUUAAUCGAUUCAGGGUUAGUCGGGACCUAAGGCGAAGCCGAACGGCGUAGUCGAUGGACAACUGGUUAAUAUUCCAGUACUUGCUUUACUGCGAUGUGGUGACGAAGUAGUGAAAGUUCUGCGGGGCAACGAAAGUUCCCGUUAAAAGAUGUAGAUAUAGGUUGUGUAGGUAAAUCCGCACGACUUGUCGAAUCCGAUAGUAUCAGGAGUCUUCGGACAAAUGAAUAUGAACCUAAUCAAACUUCCAAGAAAAACCACUAAGCUUCAGGUAACAGCAACCCGUACCGCAAACCGACACAGGUAGUCAAGGAGAGAAUCCUGAGGUGCUCGAGUGAUCCGUGGCUAAGGAACUAGGCAAAUUAACCCUGUAACUUCGGGAUAAAGGGUACCCUCUUCGGAGGGUUUCAAUAAAAUGGCUCUGGCGACUGUUUAUCAAAAACACAUGGCUUUGCUAAAUCGAAAGAUGAUGUAUAAGGCCUGACACCUGCCCGGUGCUGGAAGGUUAAAAGGAGAGGUUAGUAGUAAUACGAAGCUUUGAAUUGAAGCCCCAGUAAACGGCGGCCGUAACUAUAACGGUCCUAAGGUAGCGAAAUUCCUUGUCGGGUAAGUUCCGACCUGCACGAAUGGUGUAACGAUCUCCGCUCUGUCUCAACCGCGAGCUCGGUGAAAUUGUGGUAUCAGUGAAGACGCUGAUUACCCGCAACGGGACGGAAAGACCCCAUGCACCUUUACUAUAGCUUAACAUUGACUUUGGGUAAAUCAUGUGUAGAAUAGGUGGGAGACUUUGAAGUAGGGGCGCUAGCUCUUAUGGAGUCAACAAGUGAAAUACCACCCUUGAUUUAUUCGGCGUCUAACUCCUAACGGAGGACAUUGUUUGGUGGGUAGUUUGACUGGGGUGGUCGCCUCCAAAA
rnacentral:rRNA from 1 species